rnacentral:rRNA from 1 species
GGUCAAGUGAAUAAGCGCAUGUGGUGGAUGCCUAGGCGGCAUAAGGCGAUGAAGGACGUAGUAAUCUGCGAUAAGCUUCGGUGAGUUGAUAAACAAACUUUGACCCGGGGAUUUCCGAAUGAGUGAACUCAGUCUACAUAAGUAGAUUAUCUCCAUCUGAAUAUAUAGGAUGGUAGAAGCAAACCUGGAGAACUGAAACAUCUAAGUACCCAGAGGAAAAGAAAUCAAUUGAGAUUUCCUUAGUAGCGGCGAGCGAAAAGGAAACAGCCCAGUUAUUUUAAUCCACACGACUACUAAUAAAACAAUCUGGAAAGGUUGGCCAAAGAAGGUGAUAGCCCUGUAUGUGAAAGUUUAGUGUGGUGGAUAACGAUGAGUAGAGCGGGACACGAGAAAUCUUGCUUGAACAUGGGGGGACCAUCCUCCAAGGCUAAAUACUCUAUGCCGACCGAUAGUGAACUAGUACUGUGAAGGAAAGGCGAAAAGAACCCCUGUUAGGGGAGUGAAAUAGAACCUGAAACCGUGUGCGUACAAGCAGUGGGAGCCCUUUCGGGGGUGACUGCGUACCUUUUGUAUAAUGGGUCAGCGACUUACUUUUUGUAGCAAGCUUAACCGUAAUAGGGUAGGCGGAGGGAAACCGAGUCUUAAUAGGGCGUUUAGUUGCAAGGAGUAGACCCGAAACCGGGUGAUCUAUCCAUGGCCAGUGUGAAGGUGGGGUAAUUCCUACUGGAGGCACGAACCCACUUAUGUUGAAAAAUGAGGGGAUGAGCUGUGGAUCGGAGUGAAAGGCUAAUCAAACCCGGAGAUAGCUGGUUCUCCGCGAAAGCUAUUUAGGUAGCGCCUCGUGUAUUACUGUUGGGGGUAGAGCACUGUUAUGGCUAGGGGUCCAUCCCGGAUUACCAAACCAUUGCAAACUCCGAAUACCAACAAGUAGAGCACGGGAGACAGACUGCGGGUGCUAACGUCCGUAGUCAAGAGGGAAACAACCCAGACCAACAGCUAAGGUCCCAAAAUUAUGACUAAGUGGAAAACGAAGUGGGAAGGCCCAGACAUCCAGGAGGUUGGCUUAGAAGCAGCCAUCCUUUAAAGAAAGCGUAAUAGCUCACUGGUUGAGUCGGCCUGCGCGGAAGAUUUAACGGGGCUCAAGUCAUAUACCGAAGCUUUGGACUCUAGUUUACUAGAGUGGUAGCGGAGCGUUCUGUACGUCACUGAAGGUGUAUCGUGAGAUAUGCUGGAGAUAUCAGAAGUGCGAAUGCUGACAUAAGUAACGAUAAUGUAGGUGAGAACCCUACACGCCGAAAACCUAAGGUUUCCUCCGCAACGUCAAUCGGCGGAGGGUUAGUCGGUACCUAAGGCGAGGCCGAAAGGCGUAGUCGAUGGAAAACAGGUUAAUAUUCCUGUACUCCUUUAUAUUGCGAUGGGGGGACGGAGAAGGUUAAAUCAGCCAGUCAACGGUUAUACUGGUUUAAGCAGGUAGGAAUGUUUCUUUGGUAAAUCCGGGAAGCUUUAUUCCGAGAUGCGACGACGAAGUUUUUUCUUCGGGAAAAACGAAGUGAUCUAUACCAUACUUCCAAGAAAAUCCUCUAAGCUUCAGAUAUAAAGAAGCCGUACCCUAAACGGACACACGUAGGUGGGAUGAGAAUUCUAAGGCGCAUGAGAGAACUCAGUUGAAGGAACUAGGCAAAAUGAUACCGUAACUUCGGGAGAAGGUAUGCCCUUUGUAUGUGAAGCCACUUGCUGGCUGAGCAAAAGAGGGUAGCAUUAAAACGAUGGCUGCGACUGUUUACUAAAAACACAGCACUCUGCAAACACGUAAGUGGAAGUAUAGGGUGUGACGCCUGCCCGGUGCCGGAAGGUUAAUUGAUGGGGUAAGUUAAUUUAUUAGCGAAGCUCUUGAUCGAAGCCCCGGUGAACGGCGGCCGUAACUAUAACGGUCCUAAGGUAGCGAAAUUCCUUGUCGGGUAAGUUCCGACCUGCACGAAUGGCGUAACGAUGGCCAUACUGUCUCCAACUGAGACUCAGUGAAAUUGAAAUCGCUGUGAAGAUGCAGUGUACGCGCGGCUAGACGGAAAGACCCCGUGCACCUUUACUACAGCUUUACACUGAACUUUGAAUUCAAUUGUGUAGCAUAGCUGGGAGACUUUGAAACUGAUGCGCUAGCAACAGUGGAGUCAACCUUUGAAAUACCAGCCUAUUGCCUUUGAAGUUCUAACCCAGAACCGUUAUCCGGUUCGGAGACAGUGUAUGGUGGGUAGUUUGACUGGGGCGGUCUCCUCCUAAAGAGUAACGGAGGAACGCGAUGGUACCCUCAAUACGGUUGGAAAUCGUAUGAUGCGUGUAAAGGCAUAAGGGUGCUUGACUGCGAGACAGACAUGUCGAGCAGGUAGGAAACUAGGUCUUAGUGAUCCGGUGGUUCUGUAUGGAAGGGCCAUCGCUCAAUGGAUAAAAGGUACGCCGGGGAUAACAGGCUGAUACUGCCCAAGAGCUCAUAUCGACGGCAGUGUUUGGCACCUCGAUGUCGGCUCAUCACAUCCUGGGGGUGAAGCAGCUCCCAAGGGUAUGGCUGUUCGCCAUUUAAAGUGGUACGCGAGCUGGGUUUAGAACGUCGUGAGACAGUUCGGUCCCUAUCUACCGUGCGCGUUUGAUAUUUGAUGGAAGUUGCUCCUAGUACGAGAGGACCGGAGUGAACCUAUCCCUGGUGUUCCAGUUGUCUCACCAGAGGCAUUGCUGGGUAGCUAUAUAGGGUUGUGAUAACCGCUGAAAGCAUCUAAGCGGGAAGCCAUACCAAAGAUAAGAUAUCACUGGACCUUUAAGGUCCCUAAAGAUCCGUUCAAGACUAGGACGUUGAUAGGCUGGGUGUGGAAGCUAGGUAACUAGUGAAGCUAACCAGUACUAAUUGAUCGUGAGGCUUGAUCUU